UACGUAGGGGGCAAGCGUUGUCCGGAUUUAUUGGGCGUAAAGAGCGUGUAGGCGGCCUGAAAGGUCAGCUGUGAAAACUCGAGGCUCAACCUCGAGACGUCGGUUGAAACCAUCUGGCUAGAGUCCGGAAGAGGAGUGUGGAAUUCCCGGUGUAGCGGUGAAAUGCGCAGAUAUCGGGAGGAACACCCAUGGCGAAGGCAGCAAGCUGGGCGACACCUGACGCUGAGGCGCGAAAGCGUGGGUAGCAAACAGG
rnacentral:rRNA from 1 species